rnacentral:rRNA from 1 species
UAGCGUAGGGUCCGAGCGUUGUCCGGAAUUAUUGGGCGUAAAGCGCGCGCAGGCGGCUCUUUAAGUCUGGUGUUUAAGUGCGGGGCUCAACCCCGUGACGCACUGGAAACUGGGGAGCUUGAGUGCAGAAGAGGAGAGCGGAAUUCCACGUGUAGCGGUGAAAUGCGUAGAGAUGUGGGAGGAACACCAGUGGCGAAGGCGGCUCUCUGGACUGUAACUGACGCUGAGGCGCGAAGCGUGGGGAGCAAACAGG